UAAUGAAUAAUUAGGAAGUUAAUGUCACCAUGCACUGUCAUGGGAAAGGUUCUGAAAGUCUAUAAAAGAUGAAACAGGACUUUAACCUUUGAUCCUAGAGGUAAUAGGAAGCCACUGGAGCUUAUUGAACAUGGAGUACAUGAUAUGGCCAGACUUAAUCCUUAGGAAUAUUGCUUUGAUGGAGUUGAUGAAAGUAUAAAGGAUAAAUUGCGAAUCUGGAACCUUUUCUCAGAAGAUGAGAGAGAUCUCAAUCAACUGGGAAAAAGAAAAUGUGGGAUCAAAAUGGAAAAAAUUAUUGAA
rnacentral:lncRNA from 1 species